ACAUACGACCAUACCCACUGGAGAACUCGGGAUCCCGUCCGCUCUCCCAUAGAUAAGCCAGUGAGGGCUGGAGUAGUAGUCGGGUCGGUGACGACCGGCGAAUGCCCGGUGUUGUAUGUU
rfam:Colletotrichum gloeosporioides Cg-14 contig00247, whole genome shotgun sequence.